AAUGCCACAGGCUUCUCCAAACCUAUAAACAUGACCACACACUUGUCUGUUCUCACUACCUUGGUUUUUGUCUCUCCUCUUCAUGCAGUUGGAGGAGGGGCAGACAAAAGGCCGAUUGAGGACCGUGCACCGAACUGGACCUGGAUCUGUGAAAGUGAGGUGACUUGUGAGAGUCGGUAUCUCUCAACAUAUACUAUGAGAUAAUUUUUUCAGCUAUAUUUGAGUUUAAAAAGUUGCUGGUAAAUACUGUGAAUAUAAAGAUUCCAAACACCCAAUCCCCAAGUCUGGUUUUGUUAGCAUUUCCUUUGAGUUAAGGUGACAGAGAGUGGGUCGAUCCAUCAGAAGUAAAUGCCAGUGUAUGUUGUGAUUUGUUGUCGUGCUAAUUUUUUUAUUUAUCAAGGCCGCCGUUGACAAAACAAUCAGAUCACACUCAUAAAUUCUGUACUUCAGUUACAGGUUAAAUUCCGAUGUAGUUUUAUUACCUAAGUUCAACACAUAGGGUCACAUUAAAUAAUUUGUUUUCUUUCAAUCUGAGUUCAAAUAAAUCAAGAGUGGUUUGCUUAAAUAAAUUGUGGUAAUCACCGCACCACUGCGCCCAAACAUAUAAUUAUUUCCACCCUUCAAAUAUGCGUAUGACUCAUCCACAAAACGUUGUUCUGUACUUUCUGUAAGUGCCAUUAUGUCAGUAUGUUAUUGGCCAUGUCAAAACCAGUUGUGAGCUAUUAGGAAGUGAAUUAUCUGAGAGGAAAAUCAAUCGCACAUUGAGCGGCUUCUGUCUGGUAAGAUCCUUUGAUCCUCUUUAGAGUUAUUUCAGGGAUGUGUUGGUGUGUCAGUCUGCUAACGUGCAUGAUAAUGAAACAAUGUGUUCUGUCUCCUGCCAACUCUCCUGUUUUCUUUUAGUAUGACAAUCUGAAAUGACUCCAUGGCAGAACACGUGCAGAACUGUAAUGACGAAUACAAAGUCCGCUUUUACACAACUUUUAUCCGAGAAGCCAAUUUUUUUUAUUGUUUGCACGGACAGAUUGUGCGUAUGUGCGGUUUAUUUGUGUAACUUGUAACUGUCACCAGAUCGCAAUUACGAGUGCAACCGCAUGUACCGACAACAGGAAGUGUGUGUUUGUUUAAACCGGGAUCUCUUGACACAGUAUCUGUGUUUACAGCGUCUAUCCACGCCACUGUCAUCACUGAACCCAACACACUCAGUGGGGGGUAUCAGUGGUGUGUCUGUGUUGCCUCAGUGGAUGU